GAUGAACGCUAGCGGCAAGCUUAAUACAUGCAAGUCGAGGGGCAGCAUGUCCCGCAGCAAUGCGGGAUGAUGGCGACCGGCAAACGGGUGCGGAACACGUACAGAACCUUCCUUCGAGCGGGGAAUAGCCCAGAGAAAUUUGGAUUAAUACCCCAUAGUAUAUCGGAGUGGCAUCACUUUGAUAUUAAAGAUUUAUCACUUGAAGAUGGCUGUGCGGCUGAUUAGAUAGUUGGUGAGGUAACGGCUCACCAAGUCUGCGAUCAGUAACUGGUGUGAGAGCACGACCAGUCACACGGGCACUGAGACACGGGCCCGACUCCUACGGGAGGCAGCAGUAAGGAAUAUUGGUCAAUGGACGAAAGUCUGAACCAGCUAUGCCGCGUGGAGGAUGAAGGCCCUCUGGGUUGUAAACUUCUUUUAUAUGGGACGAAAAAGGAUCUUUCCAGAUCAACUGACGGUACCAUGUGAAUAAGCACCGGCUAACUCCGUGCCAGCCGCCGCCGUAACAC
rnacentral:rRNA from 1 species